rnacentral:lncRNA from 1 species
CCGGGAUUUAAGAGAACAAGGUCCGCAUUUACCCACACAGGUGACAAUCAGGACCAAUUGCAAGUCUGUCAAUAAGCGCUCCAGGAGAAACCAGUUUGACCACCAGGACCGAGUUCUCCCUGACAACCGAGUCAGCCACGAAAACGAAGACGACAACAUGCUUGUGUUCAUGGUGAUGUCGAGACCAGCAAGCACCAGAUCAAGCAGGCUAUGCAGAGGCUUUAUGCCAUUGCGCCACCAACGUCAACACCC